ensembl:lncRNA
GUGAUUGCAUAUCUGUGCCAUACGGAAUGUGUUACGGUGUCAAUUUUAUUAACAGCAAAUAAUGGCUCUUCACUUAAGCAGUAUCUUAGCUUUCUCUGGCUCCUAAGCAUAAAAAACAAACCAAAUUUCAGUCCCUGCAGAUAACGAGCAGAGGGGGGACACGGAGGACUCCACAUCCACACUGACAGCAGCACGUCCACUUCUGUUUUGCUUUGAUGACUGUUGCAUGAAAUUAAGGAAACCAAUCCCAAAUAAACUCUGGACAAACAGCUUUGGAGAUACUCGUGAGAGCUGUGCUGCUGGCUGUCGAGGCACAGGGCUUUGCAUGAGUCCCUAAAAACAUGGAACAUAAUUCUGACACUGAAAUGCCAGCGGAAGCCAAGACCUGCAAGGUGCCUUGCUCUAGCUUUCUAUGCCCACGUUGAAUGCUGCAGUAACUCACCCUGUAAGCUUGAAUUCAUGUGAACUUGUAGUGAAGGCCUGGUGUUCCCAAGCAUGCUCUGCAGCAGGUCGUCAGUGUGUGGGAUGCCUUGAUAAGCCAUUACACACCACUCGGUUCCUGCUGUCCCAAGCGUUAGGCUGGGUGCUGCUUCUGCACCGAGUGCACGUGGGCUCCUUGAGUGCUGAGCCUUGACAGCCCCUGCCCAGUGCUGCCCGUGGGAAAUGCCUCGAUUUAGCCUCUCUCAAGCAAAGCCUUAUUGAAAGCAAUAAUGUGACAAGAGAUGGGUAUUGUAUUAUUAGAUUUCCCUAGGGUAUAUAUGUAUUUUUUAAAUCAUCUAGGAUGGGAAAAACAUUUAUAUAAAGAAGAAUGUCAUGACUCACUUUCCAAAGCCACGGAGAUUCAAAGCAACCAGAAAAGAGUUAACAGCACGGCCACCCCCCCGCAGUAUUCCAGAAUUUCUAAAUACAGAAUUCCUUUUAGAUUUGGAUGCCCAUUUCUGUUAUCUUAGAAGUAUUUCUGGAACUCAUGGCCUGACUCUUGGCCAGCUUUAAACAAACAAACAGGGAGAAAUAUU